ACUUAUUUGGUGGAACCGGUAGACACGUUAAACUUAAAAUUUAAUUUUAUUUUAGAAAUAUUGGUUCAAGUCCAAUAAUAAGUA
rnacentral:tRNA from 1 species